rnacentral:rRNA from 1 species
UACGUAGGGUGCAAGCGUUGUCCGGAAUUAUUGGGCGUAAAGAGCUCGUAGGCGGUUUGUCGCGUCUGCUGUGAAAACUCGGGGCUUAACUCCGGGCCUGCAGUGGGUACGGGCAGACUAGAGUGCGGUAGGGGAGACUGGAAUUCCUGGUGUAGCGGUGAAAUGCGCAGAUAUCAGGAGGAACACCGGUGGCGAAGGCGGGUCUCUGGGCCGUAACUGACGCUGAGGAGCGAAAGCGUGGGGAGCGAAUGGG